CCUUAAUAUAUUGUCAUAUUGACUAUUAUUGUAAUCACGUUGCCCUAAUUAGCCCUAAUUGCGAACGGAUUAUAAAUCCACAGUGUUUACAAUGACGUUGCCCUAAUUACGAAUGUAAGAAAAAAAGUACGAACUGUGAUUAUGUUCGUAACAAAGUUUAUACGACUAAUUUUGUACAAAAUUUUGGGAACUAACCUCGAUUAUAUGACGAAAUCUGAAAUAUAUGCUUGUAAAAUCUCAAAUCUCCGAUAAAAUGUCAAUCCAAAUGCUUCGAUAUGGUGAAUCAAUUGUAAUCGACGAACUGGUGAUGGCGAAACGUUGAGAGAUUCGUAUGUAAUCAGAAUGAAAUGUAGAUAGAUGGAGUGGAGAGAUGGAGAGAAUGUGUAGAGCCUGUAGAUAGUUCGGACGUGGAAGGCUUUAUUGAUUAUAAUUGAAUAUAUGAUUGAAGUCUGACAUCAGGUGAAGCGGUUGACGGAUGUUCGAAGGACGAAAUCUGAGAUUUGUGAAGCGGUUGACGGAUGUUCGAAGGACGAAAUCUGAGGUUUACGAAGGAUUUUCUCAUGUGUUUUGUGAUGAAUCGACUCAGAUUUGUUAG
rnacentral:lncRNA from 1 species